GCUGGGCAUGGUGGCGCAUGCCUGUAAUCCCAGGCGCUUGGGAGGCUGAGGCAGGAGGAUCACGAGUUCCAAGGCUUGCAACUUAGCAAUGCACAAAGCAACUUAGUAAGACCCUGUCUCUA
rnacentral:sRNA from 1 species